rnacentral:rRNA from 1 species
GACGAACGCUGGCGGCGCGCCUAACACAUGCAAGUCGAGCGAUGAAAUUUUAACCGCUCUUUUCGGAGAGAAGAUAAAAUGGAUUAGCGGCGGACGGGUGAGUAACACGUGAGAAACCUGCCUUUCACAAGGGGAUAGCCUCGGGAAACCGGGAUUAAUACCCUAUGACACAUUUCCUUCGCAUGGAAGAAAUGUUAAAACUCCGGUGGUGAAAGAUGGUCUCGCGCCUGAUUAGCUAGUUGGUGGGGUAACGGCCCACCAAGGCCAUGAUCAGUAACCGGCCUGAGAGGGUGAACGGUCACAUUGGAACUGAGACACGGUCCAAACUCCUACGGGAGGCAGCAGUGGGGAAUAUUGCACAAUGGAGGAAACUCUGAUGCAGCGACGCCGCGUGAGCGAUGAAGGCUUUCGAGUCGUAAAGCUCUGUCCUAUGGGAAGAUAAUGACGGUACCAUAGGAGGAAGCCCCGGCUAACUACGUG